GACAGAGGGUGCAAACGUUGUUCGGAAUUACUGGGCGUAAAGCGCGUGUAGGCGGCUCGGAAAGUCGGGUGUGAAAGCCCUGGGCUCAACCUAGGAAGUGCACUCGAAACUUCCGAGCUGGAGUUCUGGAGAGGAAGGCGGAAUUCUCGGUGUAGAGGUGAAAUUCGUAGAUAUCUGGAGGAACACCGGUGGCGAAGGCGGCAUCCUGGACCAACACUGACACUGAGGAGCGAAAGCCAGGGGAGCAAACGGG
rnacentral:rRNA from 1 species